rnacentral:lncRNA from 1 species
GGAAGGGGUAGUGUGGGGCUGAUAAAGGUGACCCAGGACCUGUGGCUUCCUUUGACUUCCGAAGUUGACUGACAAAGAAGAUCAGGUGAAUUAGACUGGUGGUACCUAAAUGAUACUGGACAUCUGUGGUUUUGUUUUUGAAUUGCAUCUGGAAUGCUGCAGUCACCAGAGGAUGUUCCUAUUUGUGUUAGGAGGCUUUCAUAGGACCAUCCUAUAUUAAUAUUGCUUAGAGGGAAUAUGCAAGAGUGAGCUUUUUGGAGCAGUUGGAAGAUACACCUAAAGGAAAUCCAAGGUAAAAUGGAUUAUUGAGGAACACUGCUGCUGACAAACAAAGCUGCUUCACCAUGUGAUCCUACAGAAGAAAAAUCAACUGAAGAUUUUAAACCUGAAAGAAGGAAUCUCGAUUUGGGGCAAGAGCUGGGCAGGAAACUGCAAAGUAAGUUACAGAGCUGACCUAGAAGGGAAGUAUAUUGUAUAAGUUCGUGGUCUCUACUCUGAAUGUAUACCUUUACUUGUAAGUUACUUCAUUAGUCCUGAAAUACAAGGAUGUGAAUGGUGUCCUUGUAGCACAAUCACUAUCUUAUUUUUUUCUGCUGCUAGUCAUAUAUGUUCUUAUAUCUAUGCCUGGAAAAGAGGGCCUUGAACUGCUUGUGAUCUCCUGGGUCUGAGAUCAUAGCACUAUUCCUGGAGAAAACCUAGAAGAAGCUCUGGCCUUUCCCUUGCCCAUAUAGAGCCUCAGCUUCCUCUCAGGCUUUGUCUGCAGUUGAAAGGGAAUAACUUUGUCAGUCAUUUUCUAGAUAAAAUCCCAAGACCCUUCACAGCUCUCAUCUGAUGCUCAGGUGGACCUGCUGCCUGGUCUAUCAGUGUGUUCAUGAGAGAAUUUACGGCAUUUUAUGCACCAUUUAGCUCCUGACUAGCUGUGCUCAGAGCUUCAUUGUACCUCCCAAAGAUGCUGUCAGACAGCCAGAUAUAAUACAAGGCUAGAAGAAUACUGAUAGCUUGUCAAAACCCAGG